AAAAGACUUCCUUUUUCAGCCAAAAAGGCAAAACAGAGAACCAAAAACGGCACAUAAAUAAAGUUUUACAUUUUAUCAAAUUUCAAUCAUCGCCUCUGUCCACAAUCUCUUAAUCUGUUCAGCGAAAAGCAACAAUAUGGAGCAUGAUGAGACAGGAUGUCAACCCCAUCCAGAAGGCCCUAUUUUGUGCAUUAACAAUUGUGGGUUUUUUGGAAGUGCUGCAAAUAUGAAUAUGUGCUCCAAGUGUUAUAAGGACGUGAUUCUGAAACAAGAACAAGAAAAGCUUGCAGCAUCGUCAAUUGAAAACUUUGUGAAUGGGUCAACAAGUCAGAAGGGGCCUGUCAUUGUUGGCUCUGUGGAUGUGCAACCUGCCCUGCUAGAAUCAAAAUCUGUGGUUUUGUCAUCACCUCCAUCUUCAAGUUCUGGUGAGGCUGCUGAAUUGAUGGCCAAGGAGGGUCCUAGCCGAUGCAGCACUUGCAAGAAAAAGGUUGGUUUGACUGGAUUCAAAUGCCGCUGUGGUAACUUUUACUGUGGAUCACACCGCUACUCAGAUAAACAUG
rnacentral:misc_RNA from 1 species